GAUGAACGCUGGCGGCGUGCUUAACACAUGCAAGUCGAACGGAAAGGCCCAAGCUUGCUUGGGUACUCGAGUGGCGAACGGGUGAGUAACACGUGGGUGAUCUGCCCUGCACUUCGGGAUAAGCCUGGGAAACUGGGUCUAAUACCGGAUAGGACCACAUUUUGGAUGGUGUGGUGGAAAGUUUUUCGGUGUGGGAUGAGCUCGCGGCCUAUCAGCUUGUUGGUGGGGUAAUGGCCUACCAAGGCGUCGACGGGUAGCCGGCCUGAGAGGGUGUACGGCCACAUUGGGACUGAGAUACGGCCCAGACUCCUACGGGAGGCAGCAGUGGGGAAUAUUGCACAAUGGGCGCAAGCCUGAUGCAGCGACGCCGCGUGGGGGAUGACGGCCUUCGGGUUGUAAACUCCUUUCGCUAGGGACGAAGCGUAAGUGACGGUACCUGGAGAAGAAGCACCGGCUAACUACGUG
rnacentral:rRNA from 1 species